rnacentral:rRNA from 1 species
AUGGGUUCGCGGUAUGAGGUGGAGGUGACAGUGGGCACGGCCCGGGACCCCAAGAACGUCAACUGGCGCAACGGCGACCUCAAGCCCUACGCCGUGCUCUGGAUCGACGCCGGCGCCCGCUGCUCCACCCGCGUCGACCUCGACAACAACGAGAACCCCGCCUGGGACGAGAAGGUCGUCGUCCCGCUGCCCCCCACCAGCCGCCUCCAGGACGCCGUGCUCUACCUCGACGUCGUCCACGCCAACGCCGCCGAGGGCGUCAAGCCGCUCGUCGGCUCCGCCCGGCUCCCGCUCCGCGACGUCGUCGACGACGCCGGCGUCGGGAGCAAGGCGUCCAGGAACCAGAAGCUGAAGCGGCCGUCCGGUAGGCCCCAGGGGAAGCUUGACGUCCGCGUCGCCGUGAAGGAGCCGGCGAGGUACUACGAGUCCUACCCGGCGCCCGCGGGGUACGGCUCCUCCCAGCCCGCCGUCCCCUACGGCGGUGGAUCCUCCCGUGAUGCCUAUGGUGGUGGGUACGGCGCUGGUGCUGGCGCGUACGGCGCCGCGGCGGCGCCUCCGUCUGGGUACCCCGGCUACGGCUCCACGGAGCCGGCUCCCCCCUACGGCGCCGCACCGCCGACACAGGGAGCAGGCGCGUACGGCUCCUCUGCUCCGGCUUACGGCGCCGCGCAACCAGCUCAGGCGGCGGGGUACGGCACGACGGGGAGCGGCGGGAAGAAGAAGAAGGGGAUGGGCAUGGCUGGCGGGCUGGCGGUGGGCGCGGCGGCGGGCGUGCUUGGCGGGCUGGCGCUGGCGGGCGGGGCGAGCUACGUGGAGCACAAGAUCGAGGACCGCGUGACCGAGCGCGUGGAGGAGGACAUGUACGGCGGCGACUACUAG